UACGUAGGGUGCAAGCGUUAAUCGGAAUUACUGGGCGUAAAGGGCGCGUAGGCGGCCAGCACAAGUCAGUUGUGAAAUCUCCGAGCUUAACUCGGAAAGGUCAACUGAUACUGUGCGGCUAGAGUGCGGAAGGGGCAACUGGAAUUCUUGGUGUAGCGGUGAAAUGCGUAGAUAUCGAGAGGAACACCUGCGGCGAAGGCGGGUUGCUGGGCUGACACUGACGCUGAGGCGCGAAAGCUAGGGGAGCGAACGGG
rnacentral:rRNA from 1 species